GAGUAACGCGUGAGAAUUUGGCUUCAGGUCGGGGACAACAGUUGGAAACGACUGCUAAUACCGGAUGUGCCGGAAGGUGAAAGAUUUAUCGCCUGAAGAUAAGCUCGCGUCUGAUUAGCUAGUAGGCGGGGUAAGAGCCCACCUAGGCGACGAUCAGUAGCUGGUCUGAGAGGAUGAUCAGCCACACUGGGACUGAGACACGGCCCAGACUCCUACGGGAGGCAGCAGUGGGGAAUUUUCCGCAAUGGGCGAAAGCCUGACGGAGCAAUACCGCGUGAGGGAGGAAGGCUCUUGGGUCGUAAACCUCUUUUCUCAAGGAAGAAGAAAGUGACGGUACUUGAGGAAUAAGCAUCGGCUAACUCCGUGCCAGCAGCCGCGGUAAUACGGAGGAUGCAAGCGUUAUCCGGAAUGAUUGGGCGUAAAGGGUCCGUAGGUGGAACUGAAAGUCUGCUGUUAAAGAAUCUGGCUCAACCAGAUAGGAGCAGUGGAAACUACAGAACUAGAGUAUGGUAGGGGUAGAAGGAAUUCCUAGUGUAGCGGUGAAAUGCGUAGAUAUUAGGAAGAACACCGGUGGCGAAAGCGUUCUACUAGACCAAAACUGACACUGAGGGACGAAAGCUAGGGGAGCGAAUGGGAUUAGAUAC
rnacentral:rRNA from 1 species